AGGUUUUUGGAUCGUAAACCCCUUUUGUCAAGGAAGAAGCUCUGACGGUACUUGACGAAUAAGCCUCGGCUAACUCCGUGCCAGCAGCCGCGGUAAUACGGAGGAGGCAAGCGUUAUCCGGAAUGAUUGGGCGUAAAGCGUCUGUAGGUGGCCAGCUAAGUCUGCUGUUAAAGAUCACAGCUCAACUGUGGGAAGGCAGUGGAAACUGGCAAGCUAGAGGUUGGUAGGGGUAAAGGGAAUUCCCGGUGUAGCGGUGAAAUGCGUAGAUAUCGGGAAGAACACCGGUGGCGAAAGCGCUUUACUGGGCCAGACCUGACACUGAAGGACGAAAGCUAGGGGAGCGAAAGGGAUUAGAUACCCCUGUAGUC
rnacentral:rRNA from 1 species